rnacentral:tRNA from 1 species
GCCGGGGUAGCUCAAUGGGAGAGCGGGGCUCUCAUAAGGCCUAGACGUGGGUUCGAUUCCCACCCUCGGCAACA